rnacentral:rRNA from 1 species
GUGGGGAAUUUUGGACAAUGGGCGCAAGCCUGAUCCAGCAAUGCCGCGUGCAGGAAGAAGGCCUUCGGGUUGUAAACUGCUUUUGUACGGAACGAAAAGGCUCUGGCUAAUACCUGGAGCUCAUGACGGUACCGUAAGAAUAAGCACCGGCUAACUACGUGCCAGCAGCCGCGGUAAUACGUAGGGUGCGAGCGUUACGCGGAAUUACUGGGCGUAAAGCGUGCGCAGGCGGUGCUGUAAGACAGGCGUGAAAUCCCCGGGCUCAACCUGGGAAUUGCGCUUGUGACUGCAGCGCUGGAGUGCGGCAGAGGGGGAUGGAAUUCCGCGUGUAGCAGUGAAAUGCGUAGAUAUGCGGAGGAACAACGAUGGCGAAGGCAAUCCCCUGGGCCUGCACUGACGCUCAUGUACGAAAGCGUGGGGAGCAAACAGGAUUAGAAACCCGUGUAGUCC